AAAUAAUUAGUGAUAUCUGUUAAUCAUCCCUUUCAUCUGGAUUAUAUGAAGUAAAAAUAAGCACUGGCUAUAAUUAUUUGCAAAUGAAAUCCACACGCUUUAUCCUUGGUUACCCCCAUGGCUUUGCAUAAGUACCAAGCCCAUCAGUACAUCCUUUUGACUACAUAUACAGAAUUGCAAGAUUAAUUUUGAAAAAAUAAGAAUAAUAUGUGAAGACAUUAUUUUUCUUUGAGGUAGGAUUCCAGGGAAUGAGUAUGAAGGCUAACUAGACCUGAGAAAAAUUAUACUUAUAGAUUUUCCAUUACUUAAAAAAAAAGAAGACAAUGUCUCCAUAAAAACUCAACACUUAUUCCUAGAGCUGUUCUAUAAAGUGUGAGAGAUGAUUUCCAACACAGCAAUCUUGUUUUUCACGCAGUUUUCUAGAUGUAAGGUUUUCCUUUUUUGCCUUUCACACAUUAUUUUUUCUCUGUAAAUUUAUCAUUCUUCCCUUUAAAUUGCAAAUAAACAGGAUGAAAAGCGUAACAUAUCCAAGAUAGCCAAUGGAUCAUACUAUCCCGAAUAUUUCUUACUGGCUUCUAGUAUCAUGAAAAUCUUUUUCUCAUUUAUAAGUGGUCUAGAGAUGAAUGUUUUUGGAGCUGAUGUUCAGCAAUUUAUUUUUGAGACUUUCAGGCAUGUUUUCCACUUGACUUGGCUGACUCAAUACCUAGGACAAAACUUGGAUUUCUGUUUGGAAUAUGACAGAUACUCCAAUUUUUGUUUCAAUCUGUUCUCUUUUAGAGCAAAGUUUAAUGAGUUCAUUUCGAAUUAAUCUAAAAUACAGAUUUGAAAUUCAGUGUAAAAUGUAAAAGCAACUCUCCUGAAGGAUUUUGUAGUUUUUGGAAAAUGUUUCCUUUUGCAUGUGAAGUGAAUACACUUCUUUAUUUUCACACUUGAAGAUCUUCCGUAAGAAAGUGAAACUAGGCGUAAUUUUUAUCAGUCUAUGUAUUUCCUUGUCUAUUGCUAAGACUUAAAUAGUUUGCAUUAGCAUGGUUGGAUACAGACACUUUCUUCUCUCUUUCUUUCACUUCUUCUUUCUUUCUUCUCUCGGGAUCCUGCCUUCUUGAUAGGAUAUUGAAGUCCUAUCUAGUUUUUUUUCCUGCUGCACUUACGUGGUUUUCAUAAAGGGCUUUGUCUGUUUUGAUUACUACUUAAUAUUUUCUUUUUCCCCUCCUCAAGUUGUGACUUCUUGCUUGUUCUCUCAGAAAUCACUGUAUACUUCUGAAUCAAAGCUGAGAGUUUCCUGGGAAUUGAUUUCACUCUCUCUUCUUCUGAAGAGGCUUUUUAGAAGUGAUUACUUUUUCUAGGACAGGCUGCUCCAGUUAAACUCUCUUUUCAGAACUUCCUUUGUUACAGCAUUUCAGGUGUUCCAGGAUGGUGCAAUGUCCGAACAUCCUCUGACUGAAGUGGAAGAGAAGACAAGGUCAUUCUUCUUCUCUCAGUGUACUGUAUAGGACUCCUUGCUGCCCGUGAUUAACAGGUCAAAUGUUGUCUACUGUGCUUAUUGAACAGGAUCACAGGGAAGGGAAGAUGCCUGUGGGUACAAAUCUUCAAACUGAGUCCUAUGUAUGCUGCAGAUCUCACAGUUUACACAGCCAGAAUAGAAUAAAGAAAACAGAGCUGUAAUCACCAUUCA